rnacentral:rRNA from 1 species
AUCUGACGGAGCACGCCGCGUGAGUGAUGAAGGCUUUCGGGUCGUAAAACUCUGUUGUUAGGGAAGAACAAGUGCUAGUUGAAUAAGCUGGCACCUUGACGGUACCUAACCAGAAAGCCACGGCUAACUACGUGCCAGCAGCCGCGGUAAUACGUAGGUGGCAAGCGUUAUCCGGAAUUAUUGGGCGUAAAGCGCGCGCAGGUGGUUUCUUAAGUCUGAUGUGAAAGCCCACGGCUCAACCGUGGAGGGUCAUUGGAAACUGGGAGACUUGAGUGCAGAAGAGGAAAGUGGAAUUCCAUGUGUAGCGGUGAAAUGCGUAGAGAUAUGGAGGAACACCAGUGGCGAAGGCGACUUUCUGGUCUGUAACUGACACUGAGGCGCGAAAGCGUGGGGAGCAAACAGGAUUAGAUACCCUGGUAGUCCACGCCGUAAACGAUGAGUGCUAAGUGUUAGAGGGUUUCCGCCCUUUAGUGCUGAA